rnacentral:rRNA from 1 species
UAGGGAAUCUUCGGCAAUGGACGAAAGUCUGACCGAGCAACGCCGCGUGAGUGAAGAAGGUUUUCGGAUCGUAAAACUCUGUUGGUAGAGAAGAACGUUGGUGAGAGUGGAAAGCUCAUCAAGUGACGGUAACUACCCAGAAAGGGACGGCUAACUACGUGCCAGCAGCCGCGGUAAUACGUAGGUCCCGAGCGUUGUCCGGAUUUAUUGGGCGUAAAGCGAGCGCAGGUGGUUUAUUAAGUCUGGUGUAAAAGGCAGGGGCUCAACCAUUGUAUGCAUUGGAAACUUGUAGACUUGAGUGCAGGAGAGGAGAGUGGAAUUCCAUGUGUAGCGGUGAAAUGCGUAGAUAUAUGGAGGAACACCGGUGGCGAAAGCGGCUCUCUGGCCUGUAACUGACACUGAGGCUCGAAAGCGUGGGGAGCAAACA